rnacentral:tRNA from 1 species
GGUCUUAUAGUGUAGCGGUCAUCACAUCGGAAUCUGAUUCCGGUAACCCCGGUUUGAUUCCGAGUAGGACGU